rnacentral:rRNA from 1 species
CCUACGGGAGGCAGCAGUGGGGAAUAUUAGACAAUGGGGGCAACCCUGAUCCAGCCAUGCCGCGUGUGUGAAGAAGGCCCUCGGGUUGUAAAGCACUUUCAGUGAGGAAGAACGCCUGGUGGUUAAUACCCAUCAGGAAAGACAUCACUCACAGAAGAAGCACCGGCUAACUCCGUGCCAGCAGCCGCGGUAAUACGGAGGGUGCGAGCGUUAAUCGGAAUUACUGGGCGUAAAGCGCGCGUAGGUGGCUUGAUAAGCCGGUUGUGAAAGCCCCGGGCUCAACCUGGGAACGGCAUCCGGAACUGUCAAGCUAGAGUGCAGGAGAGGAAGGUAGAAUUCCCGGUGUAGCGGUGAAAUGCGUAGAGAUCGGGAGGAAUACCAGUGGCGAAGGCGGCCUUCUGGACUGACACUGACACUGAGGUGCGAAAGCGUGGGUAGCAAACAGGAUUAGAUACCCUUGUAGUC